rnacentral:rRNA from 1 species
UUGAACGCUGGCGGCAUGCCUUACACAUGCAAGUCGAACGGCAGCACGGACUUCGGUCUGGUGGCGAGUGGCGAACGGGUGAGUAAUACAUCGGAACGUGCCUAGUAGUGGGGGAUAACUACUCGAAAGAGUGGCUAAUACCGCAUGAGAUCUACGGAUGAAAGCAGGGGAUCGUAAGACCUUGUGCUACUAGAGCGGCCGAUGGCAGAUUAGGUAGUUGGUGGGAUAAAAGCUUACCAAGCCAACGAUCUGUAGCUGGUCUGAGAGGACGAUCAGCCACACUGGGACUGAGACACGGCCCAGACUCCUACGGGAGGCAGCAGUGGGGAAUUUUGGACAAUGGGCGAAAGCCUGAUCCAGCAAUGCCGCGUGCAGGAUGAAGGCCUUCGGGUUGUAAACUGCUUUUGUACGGAACGAAAAGCUUCGGGUUAAUACCCUGAAGUCAUGACGGUACCGUAAGAAUAAGCACCGGCUAACUACGUGCCAGCAGCCGCGGUAAUACGUAGGGUGCAAGCGUUAAUCGGAAUUACUGGGCGUAAAGCGUGCGCAGGCGGUUUUGUAAGACAGAGGUGAAAUCCCCGGGCUCAACCUGGGAACUGCCUUUGUGACUGCAAGGCUAGAGUACGGCAGAGGGGGAUGGAAUUCCGCGUGUAGCAGUGAAAUGCGUAGAUAUGCGGAGGAACACCGAUGGCGAAGGCAAUCCCCUGGGCCUGUACUGACGCUCAUGCACGAAAGCGUGGGGAGCAAACAGGAUUAGAUACCCUGGUAGUCCACGCCCUAAACGAUGUCAACUGGUUGUUGGGUCUUCAUUGACUCAGUAACGAAGCUAACGCGUGAAGUUGACCGCCUGGGGAGUACGGCCGCAAGGUUGAAACUCAAAGGAAUUGACGGGGGCCCGCACAAGCAGUGGAGUAUGUGGUUUAAUUCGACGCAACGCGAAGAACCUUACCAAGUCUUGACAUCCUUCUGACCGGUACUUAACCGUACCUUCUCUUCGGAGCAGGAGUGACAGGUGGUGCAUGGUUGUCGUCAGCUCGUGUCGUGAGAUGUUGGGUUAAGUCCCGCAACGAGCGCAACCCUUGCCAUUAGUUGCUACGAAAGGGCACUCUAAUGGGACUGCCGGUGACAAACCGGAGGAAGGUGGGGAUGACGUCAAGUCCUCAUGGCCCUUAUAGGUGGGGCUACACACGUCAUACAAUGGCUGGUACAAAGGGUUGCCAACCCGCGAGGGGGAGCUAAUCCCAUAAAGCCAGUCGUAGUCCGGAUCGCAGUCUGCAACUCGACUGCGUGAAGUCGGAAUCGCUAGUAAUCGUGGAUCAGCAUGUCACGGUGAAUACGUUCCCGGGUCUUGUACACACCGCCCGUCACACCAUGGGAGCGGGUCUCGCCAGAAGUAGGUAGCCUAACCGCAAGGAGGGCGCUUACCACGGCGGGGUUCGUGACUGGGGUG